CCAAUAGCGUAUAUUAAAGUUGUUGCAGUUAAAAAGCUCGUAGUUGAAUUUCGGGGUUAGUAGGUCGGUCGUGCCACUGGUAUGUACUGGUCUCACUGAUUCCUCCUUCCUGAUGAACCGUAAUGCCAUUGAUUUGGUGUUGCGGGGAGACUGGACUGUUACUUUGAAAAAAUUAGAGUGUUUAAAGCAGGCUAACGCUUGAAUACAUUAGCAUGGAAUAACGGAAUAGGACGUUCGAUCUUAUUUUGUUGGUUUCUAAGAUUGACGUAAUGAUUAAUAGGGAUAGUUGGGGGCAUUAGUAUUCAAUUGUCAGAGGUGAAAUUCUUGGAUUUAUUGAAGACUAACUACUGCGAAAGCAUUUGCCAAGGAUGUUUUCAUUAAUCAAGAACGAAAGUUAGGGGAUCGAAGACGAUCAGAUACCGUCGUAGUCUUAACCAUAAACUAUGCCGACUAGGGAUCGGAUGAUGUUAAUUUUUUAAUGACUCAUUCGGCGCCUUACG
rnacentral:rRNA from 1 species